UACGGAGGAUGCGAGCGUUAUCCGGAUUUAUUGGGUUUAAAGGGUGCGUAGGCGGGAUGCCAAGUCAGCGGUAAAAAUGCGGUGCUCAUCGCCGUCGAGCCGUUGAAACUGGCGUUCUUGAGUGGGCGAGAAGUAUGCGGAAUGCGUGGUGUAGCGGUGAAAUGCAUAGAUAUCACGCAGAACUCCGAUUGCGAAGGCAGCAUACCGGCGCCCUACUGACGCUGAGGCACGAAAGCGUGGGUAUCGAACAGG
rnacentral:rRNA from 1 species